rnacentral:rRNA from 1 species
UACGGAGGGUGCAAGCGUUAUCCGGAUUCACUGGGUUUAAAGGGUGCGUAGGAGGGCAGGGUAAGUCAGUGGUGAAAUCUCCGAGCUUAACUUGGAACUGCCGUUGAUACUAUCUGUCUUGAAUAUUGUGGAGGUGAGCGGAAUAUGUCAUGUAGCGGUGAAAUGCUUAGAUAUGACAUAGAACACCAAUUGCGAAGGCAGCUGGCUACACAUAUAUUGACUCUGAGGCACGAAAGCGUGGGGAUCAAACAGG